rnacentral:lncRNA from 1 species
GAGCUAUUCUAGGGCAUUAUCCUCUUCCUAAAAUCCUAUUUUUCACUUUUCAAUUGCUUCCAAUCAUCUCCAAAUAGUAGAAGAUAGCUUCCCCAAGCCGUUAGAUCAAGAUCUUCAACUCCAAAUAUUUUAACCCAUAACAUGCUUGAUAUUUUAGAUAUUUUAACUCUGGUACCAGUCGAAGACAGUCUUCCACUGCACAUCACAUGUGGCGCGGGCUCAUUCCCAAUACAUAGGGUGACACCCGCGCGUGCCUAUUAAAGCACUCAUCAUAUGAGCCCCCGGGUGGAGAGCCACGCUUCGUCACACGAUCACGCGUGAGAGUUCCGGAAAUCGGAUAGUCUCCACUAAUCCUUUGCUUUGACACCAAAUAUCACAAAGCCCUCAGAUUCCGAGGAUUGUGUGAUUCGAAUAAAUAUGCAUAAAUCACAACUUCUUGUGAUUUGAAGAUUGAUAUCAUAUCUCAACCGUAAAAGAGAUCAGGUCUCUUACCUUUAAAAGGGGGUUCUUUCAAGGAUGCUUCGCAGCCGCACAAGCGUCCGGCCUCGAUGACUCGUCCACGCGAAGCUCCGGAAUGAUCAGCUUCCCGGGGAGUGCUAGCUCGCAGGGAGGCAGAAGGUUAGCUGAAAUGGAGAAGGAAGAAGAUGGACCUUCACAGCUCAAGAACUCCUUCUUGGGCUUUCACCUUCAGAGCUACUCUCUCCUCUCACUCUCUUUCUCUGGUGCUCUUGAU